CCCGAGAGAUAAACCAAGCUUCACAAGUAAGCUUUGAAAGCACUCCACCUUUUCCAGGUGAAGACAAAGAAAAUAGGAAAAGAUGAGAAAAGUAAAAACGAUUAGGAAUGAAUAGAGAAAUUGGCGAAAACGCGGAGAUAACGGUCGAAGGAUACCUUUUUUAUUCACUUUAUUAUUUAAUGCUUUCAUUUGAGGCAUGAUAGAUUUUUCAGGUCGCUUCUGACCAGAAGAUAAAUGACAAAUCCGACCUAUUCUCAUAGGAAUAAUCAUACCAGAUCGAUGAGACGUAUAGAACACACUUCGUGGCUGGAAUCUAAAGAACAUCAUAUUCCUGGGGGGG
rnacentral:misc_RNA from 1 species